rnacentral:tRNA from 1 species
GAAGGUACAGCUCAGUGGGUAGAUCGCAUGCUUAGCAUGCCCAAGGUCAUGGGUUCAAUUCCCAGUACCUCCA